UCCAAUGUCAUUCAACAUAGAAAUUGUGUUAGGCAUGUGCAUGCCAAUUAGAGUAAGAGCCAUAGAGGGAAAGUUCUUAAGGGUCAUUUCUGGCAGAUUGCAAAGACACUAAAUAAAACACAACUUGCUGAAAGUUUCAAGGCUUUAGAGAAGAUUGAUGUUGCUGCCUGUGUUGAUCUUGACAAAUAUCCAAUGCAAUACUAGUGCAAGACUUACUUCAAGGAAGAUGUCAAGUGUGACAUGGUAGAUAACAACCUAAGUGAGGCAUUCAAUUGAACUUUGCUCAGUGCAAGAUCAAAGUUUAUAAUUCCAUUGCUUGAGGAUAUACGGGUAGCAAAGAAAAAAAACAAUGGCUGAAAAUUAGAGAGGAAAUUACGGCUCAUUGGUGAUGAAGAAGCUCAAUGAAAGCAUACUUGGGAAUGCAGGUUGGGAUGUGGCAUUCAAUGGAGUUGAGGGUUAUGAAUUUAAAAAGGACAGAUUUCAAUUCAAGGUAAAUUUACAUUUGAUGAAGAAUUAUGACAUGUCAACUAAGCAAGGGAAAGGGACAUAAUAAAUGAUUUUGUCCUACACUCUCAAGCCAACAAGCAGAAUCUGCCACUUCUUCAACUGUUAGAGGAAGACCACCUGCUGCUGCAAGGGGGAGAGAUAGAGGGAGAGGAAGAGGGAGAGGAAGUGGAAGAGGGACAUGCUUGUCGCAGGAAAGCUUAGUUGACGCUUCAAGUUGCACAGAGUGAAACUCAAUAGAACCAUGAAGGUAGAUGAAGAUUGAUGAAGACAAUGAUGCUUUUUGUGUUUUGUAGAUUAUUAGCUAGUGUUUAUGUAGUCACUUCUUUUGUGGAUGCAUGAUUUUGUGGAUGCAUGAUUUUGUGGAGAACAAAUGAUGGGCAGUUUAUUAAUGUCUGAGGAGAGGCUGAAUUAUAUGAA